GAGAUGACUCUCGGCAACGGAUAUCUAGGCUCUUGUCACGAUGAAGAACGUAGCGAAAUGCGAUACUUGGUGUGAAUUGCGGAAUCCCGUGAACCAUCAAGUUUUUGAACGCAAGUUGCGCCCGAGGCCACCAGGCCAAGGGCACGCCUGCCUGGGCGUCACGC
rnacentral:rRNA from 1 species